UCAAUUGUUAAAUCCCACAUAGGUUGUGGAAAGGGGUAAUGUGCCCCUUAUAUGGGCCAUAGGCACUCCUCCCCUUGAGCUAGCUUUUGGGGUUAGGCAUGGCCCAAAUUUAACAUGGUAUCAAAGCCUCCCCAUCCGAUGUUUGGCGCCCUAUAAAUGUGCCAUGCACCAGUAAAAAUUCUGGGUGUGAAGGGGUGUGUUGAAUCCCCCAUCGGUUGUGGAAAGGGGUAACGUGCCCUUUAUAUGGGCCAUAGGCACUCCUCAAGGGGUGUGUUGAAUCCCACAUCGGUUGUGGAAAGGGGUAAUGUGUCCCUUAUAUGGACCAUAGGCACUCUCCCCCUUGAGCUAGCUUUUGGGGUGAGUUAGGCUUGACCCAAAUUUAACAUCAAUAAUAGUAAUCAACUCCGCAUCUUAAUCUCAAUCUAGCUGAAGUCUGCUCCAGAUGUAUUCAUCACAUUCUAAAAAUUUCUGGUGAUGCUAAAUCCUUAUGAUCAACUUCACAUCAUAUGUUUCCAUCAACCAUGUAAUUUGUAUGUGCUUAAUCUUAUGUACCUAGCACAUCUACUCACGUAUGUACACUAGAAUCAAGAGAUGAUCCAAACAUCUCAAUCACCCAUUACUCACUAUUUCAUAAUCCUAUAAAUUAUUCAUUGUUUUAUCUGAGCAUUUCUUGCAUUUUCACACAAUUUUAGCAUCAUUUUAUCUCUUGUACUUCUUAAAUGCACAAAUCACUUUGUUGCUUAUAAAUUGCAUACAUCAUUUCAGCCAAUUGGGGAAUGUCACAGAACCAUUUAACACAUGAACAAACUUGUUAAGCUGUUAUACAACAAUUCUUUUUUAAACACUUCAUUCCCAAACUUCCAUAAAGAAAAUAGUGGAAAUUUCAGUUAUGUAAUUCAAGUACUAAAAUCGCUCAGGCCUCAAACUGAUUUCAAAUAUUAUGAAAAUAACUAAAACUAACCCCAUAUUAGAGGUCGUCUUUCGUAAUAAUCCCAUUAGAAUCCUGUCAAGUCCAUUCGUUUUCUUAUCUGUAUCUUUCUCAAAAGUCUCCAAACAUUUGAUAUCAUAAACCCCCAACAAAAAUAACAUUUAAAUUCUACAAUAUUAUCCUUCUGGUUUUCACCAAAUAUCUUAUCAAAAUAACUUCGCCUUUCUUUAGUUUCUUCCUCCAUCAAAAGUUAGAGGUCUUCAUUUUUUAAACUUUAGUUUGAUAAAAAUCUCAUCAUGUCCUUCCCUUUAUCCAAAAUAAUCUGUAGAUGUUCCUCUCCCCUUCUCAUAUGCAAAGCUUUUCAGAAAUUUGAUUAUAGUGUCGCUAAUUAUAUCUUUACCUCUCUUUUAGGCAUAUAACAAAGAACAUCUCCACUUUAGCAUUCAGGUGGAAUUCUACAACAUUUCCAUUUGGCCAUUAGCUCAUUGCACCUCCUCAUUCCACUAUCAAACUUCACUUGGACUACUGCAUUCAGCUCCCAUGGGACAUCCACUUCCACUAUUAUUUUUGCAACCACCUCCACCUCCAGGGUAUAUGCCGUAGUUACUCAGCAAUCAUAUGAUUUGCAAUCAGUCAUUGUUCAUACCUGAGAGUCAAAUGUGCUUGACAGUUAUGCUAAUGACCGUAAGGCUAAUGAAAUGAUACCUCUGUUCGCACUAGAUAAAGAUGCGCACUCCAAAUAUCAGUUGAAGCAGCAAUAGCUUUAUUAUCAAAACAGGUUGUAUAUUGAAGAAACUGGAUAAUUGAGAAGGAACCGAAAUCACUGGUUCAGGACAGUGCUUUGGGAAGCCUUCAUAGUUCAUAAGCAUUAUAACUGUUAUAGAUAAUGGAUAGACCAAAUAAAUUCUUAAACAAAGUACAACACUUGAAGAAAUCUAUCAACUAAGGUUAUAUUUUAUGUCUAUCUUAUCUUAAUAGUUUGUUAUUCUUAUCUUAGGAGUUUCUCGUCUAAUAAUUGUUUGUAUUAGACUUCUACUCUAGUUAGAAGUACUAUGAUUGUAUGAACCUCCACUAUAUAAGGGGUUUAUUUUUAUUCUAUAAAAUAAACAGAUUAAUUAUAAACGCUUUAAGACUCUUUUUAACGCUUACAAGGUGUUAAGAAUCAAAGAAUUUUGGUUAGAAUUUUUUAUUCUAUUCUAAUUGAAUUGAUCUUUACAAUUUUUGAGUAUUUAUACAUAAAGAAUUAACUUAAAUUAGGAAUAUUUACAAUAAGAAUAAAAUUCUUAUAAUCAAACCCUAUAAUCAAGCCUACUUAUAAUCUCAAAAAUCUGAAUCCUCCUAUUUAGAAACCUUUUAUGUUGGUCAACACCCUCCCUCAAGUUGGUACAUAGAUAUUACACAUGCCCAACUUGUAAACCAAGGUGUGAUAGACCUUGUUCCUGAGCUCUUUGAUAACAUUAGCUAGUUGUUCAUCAAAAGUCACGUGAUCUAAUCUCAAGACAUCAUUUAUUAAUUUCUCUUUAAUAAAAUGUCAAUCAAUCUCAAUAUAUUUCGUUCAGUCAUGUUGAACCAAAUAUUGAGCUAUACUCUGUUGUCACAGUAUAAGAGGAGUUUGUCCCUCUCCAACAGUUUCAAUUCCUCCAACAAUCUUUGCAACCAUAAAAGUUCACAAACACCUUAUGCCAUCGCUCUAUACUCCGUCUCAGCACUUGAUCGAGCAACAACACUUUGCUUUUGCUUGUCCAAGUAACAAGGUUUCCUCCUACAAGUGUCAGUAACCACUAGUCGAGCUUCUAUCAUCAAGAGAUCCAACUUUCUAUCAUCAAGAGAUCCGGCCCAAUCUGCAUCUGUGAAUGCAUGUGUACGGAGAUAAUCGUGUUUACAAAAUAGGAGACCUUUUCCAGAGCAGACUUCAAGUGUCGCAAAAUGUAAAAAACAGCUUGCAUGUGAGACUCACAAGGAUCAUGUAUAAACUAACUGACAAAGCUAACUGCAUAUGCUAUGUCUAGUUGAGUAUGCGAAAAAUAAAUCAGUCUGCCUACCAACCUCUGAUAUCGGCCAAUAUCCACAGAUUCACCAAUCAUUGCUUGCAGCUUGUGAUUGCUCUCAAUGAGAGUUUCUACUAGUUUGUAGCCUAACCUACUAGUUUCUUCCAAAAGAUCCAUAAUGUAUUUUUUUUUUAGAAAUAAAAAUUUCCUUUUUUGAUCUGGCAACCUCGAUUCUCAGGAAAUAUUGAAGUUUUUUCUGCUUCUGUUAUGUCUCUUCUUGAGUAUCUCCUUAAAUCUGAUUCAUCCAAACGCCCAAUUAUUAUCUUUUCUUGAUCACCAUUCUCCCCCCGUACAGCAGUCUCUCCAGAGUAAAAUGCUCUAGAGUUAUAGGACUAGGAAUCACCUCUUCUCUCUAAUUGUUCUCCCCCUGAAGAGGUGACGAAGUAGUACUGAAGUAAGAUUCAGUCUCUCUAAACAUAACAUCCAUACUGACAAAGUAUUUUUGAGAUUGAGGGUGGUAACACUUGUAACCCUUCUAUGUGGGAAAGUACCCAACAAACAUAUUUUAUUUAAGAGCCCUCAGAUCAAGUUUUUCCGCCUGUUCUAGUAUGAACAAAACGUGCAUCCAAACACUUUUGGUGGAACAGUAUAAGCAUUUUUCCAUUACAGCACCUCUAAAGAGCUUUUAAAGGCAAGAGUUUUGAGAGACAUUGUAUUAAUGAGAUAAACUGCAACUAAAACUGCAUCAUUCCAAUAGGUUUUUGGAAGGUUCAUGGUGAAAAUGAAAGAUCGGGCUACUUCUAACAGGUACCUAUUUUUUCUUUCAGUAAC
rnacentral:lncRNA from 1 species